UUUGACCAUCCAUUUAGUAUUGGGAAAACAGUCAAUAUCGAAACGAUGGCUUCGAAACAUUUUGUAUUUUUGCUUGCUGUUCUCUACUUGACAUUCGUCAUUCAUUGUUCUCAUGGCGAAGAAGAGGUUGCUUCUCAAGACGAUGAAGAGAAUUUUACUGUAGACGGAGAAGAUUACAUUUAUGACGCAGAUGAUUAUGAAGAAACUUACGAAGAUGACAGUAACGCUAUCAAAUCAGAAAUAAGCUGCGAUGAUUGCAAAUCGAUAAUAGGAGAAUUGAAAAAAAAUGGUUGUCAUUGUGAUGAAUCUAUGCCGAACUCUGUGCAACGUAUUUUGUGUAAUAAACAUGAUAGCAAAUAUCUUUGCAAUGCUGCAGGAAGUUCCGAUACAUCUGAGAAUAUCUGCAAUAAAUUGGACAAGUACUGCGAAACGUAAAACGUUAUUAACAGAUUUUGUAAAAUCUGAAUAACCUUUGUUUAUGACAAUUGAUCGAUGUGCUCAAUGUUACCCAACUCAAUUUGACUUUCAAAUUCAAUUCGAGAACAG